UUUCUGACUGAAUGUAAGCACGGGCACUGGAAGUUAAUGUAAAUAUAUAGUAUGUGUAUGUAUAAAAAAGACCCUUCUUUUUUUUUAUACAUACACAUACUAUAUUAUUUAUAUUAACUUCCAGUGCCCGUGAAUGUAAGCGGUUACAUGUUAGGCUAAAGGCAUUACUAUUUUUUAUAAUUUGUAUACAGAUGCAUGCAGUAACUUGAGUUCAGUGUCACAUUGCUGCGUCUAAAAAGCCCAAAGCUGAUAAGACUGGCGAUUGAUCCUAAGGCUGAUUUGACAGAUGAUUGGAUCAGCACAAUAUUAAAGGUUCAAUAUACAGUCAGCGUCUCAUAAGAAUAAAUCCCAAGAUCCAAGACUUGCUUAAAAGCUUAAUUAAGAGACCAUUCUGUGCCACAAAGAAAUUGUUCAGGAAAGGGAGAAAUGGUGGAUUUGCAUUUUGGGUACAGUUCAAAGAGAGUUCAAAAUGGUCAAGCUCAUGGAAGAUCAGAGGGAGGACAACUGAAGAAAACUGAAAGAUACAGAAGGAAAAAGAACAAGAAAAUAUAUGAAAUAAUUAUGAAAUUGGGAGGAUGUACACAAUCUUGUCUGCAUUUGACCUGUAAAGAUUUAAUUCCCAUUCUUAUUUGUAUGCU